rnacentral:rRNA from 1 species
GAUGAACGCUGGCGGCGUGCCUAAUACAUGCCAGUCGAGCGAACGGACGAGAAGCUUGCUUCUCUGAUGCUAGCGGCGGACGGGUGAGUAACACGUGGAUAACCUACCUAUAAGACUGGGAUAACUUCGGGAAACCGGAGCUAAUACCGGAUGAUAUUUUGAACCGCAUGGUUCAAAAGUGAAAGACGGUCUUGCUGUCACUUAUAGAUGGAUCCGCGCUGCAUUAGCUAGUUGGUAAGGUAACGGCUUACCAAGGCAACGAUGCAUAGCCGACCUGAGAGGGUGAUCGGCCACACUGGAACUGAGACACGGUCCAGACUCCUACGGGAGGCAGCAGUAGGGAAUCUUCCGCAAUGGGCGAAAGCCUGACGGAGCAACGCCGCGUGAGUGAUGAAGGUCUUCGGAUCGUAAAACUCUGUUAUUAGGGAAGAACAUAUGUGUAAGUAACUGUGCACAUCUUGACGGUACCUAAUCAGAAAGCCACGGCUAACUACGUG